GACAUAUCCCAAUGACAAUGAUGAAUUAAUAAUAGUCAGAAGAGGAUCUAUGACUUCUGGAAGUGCCUCUUUUAGGAGCUUUGAUGGAACAGGGUCUAACAUACAUGUUGUUGGUUUAGAUGAUUGUGACAAGUGGGGUGGGGCCAAGAGCCGUGGGAAAUGAGCGACACCUGCUCCACUCACCGCUCUCGAGUCCCACGGAGGAGAUUGGGAGGAUACAAAAGAGGAGCGACGACUGUGAAGGACGAGAGAGGACCAGGCCUGGGUUUUAUCUUGCGGUGUGGUCUUUGUUUGUGCGCGGCAGUCGUCCGUUAGGGGCUGUCGCGCUGUUUUGUGUUUAUUUGGGUAUUAAAGUUUUAUUUGAGUGUUCGCCGGUUCCCGCCUCCUUCUUCCCGUGAUUAUGGAGUUUUUAUAUUGUUACACUGGUGCCGAAACCAGGGAGGAAGGAGGACGCGCUGCCGAAGAUCCCUUGCCGCUGGGGUGAAUCCGCGGUGCCAUCGAGCAGGGCGUAGCAGUCUGGCGCCGUGGACGCUUGAGACGGUGGGCUGGAGUGAGUUGCCGGGAACAGACGAACUCACUGCCAGCCGCCCGCGAUGUGGAGGGACGGCUGCCGUCUGUGAGGGAGCGGAGGAGUCGGCGCCGUUCGCCAGGGGGCCGGAGCCUGCUACCAUCCCAUGGUAUGAGGAGGAGCAGGGAACGGGGGCUCCUGCUGGCUGCUCAAAACCGGAGGAGCCGUCGCCGUCCACCGGGCAGCGGAGGAGUGUCGUGCCGUCCACCGAGGGCCGUCCAUUGCCACCGCCAGGCACCGCGGAGGAGUUCACCCAGCUGGUGGAGGGCCGAGCUGCAGUGUGUCUGGGAACCGGAACAAUUUUUUUUUUUUUCUCCUCUCUCCCCUCUCUCCCCUCUGUCACCCCUCAUGCUUCCAUCUCCUUUUCUCUCGCCUCGUCUGUCUGUCCUUACCUCAGGUUCCCGCAGGUCACCGUGAGCGGUCCCCCCCGGAGGGGGUUGCGUAGCGCGCAGUCUCGUGGGUACCCCCGGAGAUGCCCAAUCAAGAAUUUGCUUUCCUUUUUGCAGCACGUGUUGGAGCAAAAGCUGUCUCCCUUCACCCUUAAAGUAAAUAUCACUGCUAUUGCUGCUAAUCAUGACCCCGGGGAAGGGAAGUUGAUAGGGAAGCAUGAUCUGGCCAUCAGGUUCCUUAGGGGGCGGGAAGGUUAAAUCCUCCCCGGCCCCCAUUUAUACCUUCUUGGGACCUGUCUCUAUUGCUCAAAGCACUACAGCAGUGCCCCUUUGAGCCUUUGCUAUCAGUUGAGCUGAAGUU
ensembl:lncRNA